rnacentral:rRNA from 1 species
AACGAACGCUGGCGGCAUGCCUAACACAUGCAAGUCGAACGAAGCCUUCGGGCUUAGUGGCGCACGGGUGCGUAACGCGUGGGAAUCUGCCCUUGGGUUCGGAAUAACAGUUAGAAACGACUGCUAAUACCGAAUGAUGUCUUCGGACCAAAGAUUUAUCGCCCAAGGAUGAGCCCGCGUCGGAUUAGCUAGUUGGUGAGGUAAAGGCUCACCAAGGCGACGAUCCGUAGCUGGUCUGAGAGGAUGAUCAGCCACACUGGGACUGAGACACGGCCCAGACUCCUACGGGAGGCAGCAGUGGGGAAUAUUGGACAAUGGGCGAAAGCCUGAUCCAGCAAUGCCGCGUGAGUGAUGAAGGCCUUAGGGUUGUAAAGCUCUUUUACCCGGGAUGAUAAUGACAGUACCGGGAGAAUAAGCCCCCGGCUAACUCCGUGCCAGCAGCCGCGGUAAU